CGCUUCGGUAAGCAAUGGUUCAGUUGGCUUAGAUAGAUGUUGGUGACUUCAGAUGUAGAAGCAAGCUGGAUCAGACCUAACUUAGUGGUAGGAGAGGCUGAGAGGGCUGGACUGUUCAGCCAGGAGACGAGGAGGCUGAGGGGGAUCUCAUCAAUGUCUAUUAAUGUCUGAAGGGAGGAGACAAAGAGCUCAGAGUCAGGCUCUUGUCAGCAGCGCCAAUGGCCAGAGGAAGUGGGCACGAACUGGAACACAGGAGAUUCCCUCUGACCAUCAGUGCCGUGAUGGAGCACUCAGAAAGGGCCUUUCCAGGGCGAAUCCUCUCACAGUUCCCACUGUGGUGUAAUGGUGUAUUUCAAAUCCUCAAGGUACAACUGGUGUGUCAGCUACCCACAUUUUAAAUGCCUUUGGUAAAAUGGCUCUCCUAUGGAUGUAGCCAUUCUGAGGUAGUCUUGGCCUUUGGCGAUUCCUUACUUUCCCUAAAAUGUGGAUGAGGUGCCUCACAGGGAUCCUUGGGGCCAUAAGAAAGGGCAGCAGAAGGAGCAGCCAUAGGAACAGCCACCUUUCAAAAGAGUGGUGGAAAUGUUGGCACAAAGUACAAUAGGAUUCAGGGAGUUUAUGAGGCAGUGAGAGGCAGGAAGACAGUAAGUGAAAGGCAGUUGAAUUGGGAGAGAAAGGGGAGGGCUGGAGGAGAUAAUGAGAUUAGUUGCCACAAAAGCAGUGCAGUGUUUCUUUAAUGUGCUACAUAGAACAGAUGGUGAAAGGCUGUUGAGUUUUUAUAUCGGGGGGUCAAGUUUUAUGAGAGCAUACAUUUUCCCUGUGCUUGUUACCUGAAAGUGAUAUCACUUAUCCAGGCCUUCCCGGGAUUCAUUUGCCUCUGAAAUGGCAGGCAGGCAUUCUGCGGUGGGGGCUUGAGGUGGGUGAGAUUUGCCCAGUACCUGUGGCACAUGGCUGGGGGCAGCACCAUUCAGCAUGUGCAAGAAUGUCCUCAGGAGCAGUAGAAGUAAUUUCACAGAAUUAUAGAACGUGCUGAAGGAAUUGGCCCCAGGAGAUGUGUUCCUUCCUUUCAGUAAUUCCUAUUGCUAUUCAAGCCCAGCAAAGCAGUUUUGCUAAGGCUGUGACAUUUCUUUUUGUUGCUUUUUCUCUUGUGUAACACUACCAGCAGAUGGUUAUUUGGAGCAGGAAUGUCCACGUAACAUUUGGGGUUUCUCCUGACAAAUGGCAAGAGUCGGCUCCGACCCAGUGACCUCUUACAAGUCUGCCAGCAUAAUCAGAAGUUAAUUUCAGGUCUAGUGAUGGGCCCACAGGGUUCUAUCCCUGAGGAGCUCGGCAGCGCUCCCCUGUGCCGUUCCCAGAGGUGUGCAGAAUCCCUCAGAUGGCAGAGCUCUGAUUUCCGAGGAUCAUUGCAAAGCAAACUCAAUUUCAUGCAGGUUGUGACCUCUCGUUCGAGUGCUCGGAGAUUUGCGACCUACUUCAUGACGGAGCUUUUUGUUUGCUUUUAGCUCUUUGGAUGGAGAAACCAAGAAGUAAGAUAAGUGCCAGAGGACAAAUGUUUAUUUUUAACACUAGCCUCUCAGUGUAACUAGCUGUAGUUCUCUUGCUUUUUCUCCUGACCCUCACUAGAUCUCCCAUACCUCACAUGAAGUAUUAAGUGGAAUGCCACCAAAUCUCUGAAACUCAAUAAAUAGUCCGUAGCUUAGAAUAAUGCUGUGUAUUGUCCCUGGCUAAACUGAUUUAAGCUUUACCAAAUCUAUGGGGAAGAAAGGGCAAAAAAAAAAAAAAGCGGAUAUUUUCCCUGCUCUGUCUCUUAAUCCACCUUUCUCUCUACUAAUCUGAAGAUGAGGUUGUGAAUGGCGAAUAAGGAGGCCAGGGCUCAGUGACAGACUGCCGAGCAUCUGGUCUUGAUCUGCUGUAUAUCACAGAUAUUUUGAAGCUCAUCACAGCAGCAUGUUGGCUUCCUAAACUGUAAAUAAUUACUUCUAUAAAGCCCUGUUUCAGCUUUAACAAAACAUCAUUUUCCAUUCCAACUGUUGUCCUGGAGUAAGCCUAGAUAGGCAAAUUAAAUGUUACAGCAAGAUAGGCAGUGUUGUGAAGCCAUGCUUUGGGGUUAUUUUUUGCAGGGAGGAAAGCACAGCACUACUGCUGUAGCAUAACCAGGUCAGACUGAAUUUUCCCCAGAUCAGAUUUUCCCUCUUCCUAAAAUCACAGAAGUGCCAGCAAUUGAGCUGUAACACACAUUGCCUUUCCAAAUAGCGUGCUUUAAGGCAAGGGGUACACAGCAAGCAGACCUCAAGGAGUCUGAAGUAAAAAGGACCGGAUGGGAACACCGCUCUGAGACUUCACUGAAGCAGCUCUGAUCCUCGUUUUGCUUUGUCAACAUAGAACCUCCAAGACAGACCCUGAUGUAUUUACUUUGUCACGUGAGAAGGGCUGUGCAGAAGCACUGGUCUGGCUCUCCUGCACCAGAAGUCUAAGGACAGACCCCAGAGCUGCUGUACCAUGAAUUCUGCCUCAACCCCUGCCAGAGCAGAGCUGUCAGGGAUGUGGGAUAUGGCCGAGCACAGUCCUGGGAGAAGAGUGUAUACUGUUCCUGUUUCGGACAGAAGCAGAAAAUACCAGUAUCCCACCAGUGGAUGUACAGAUGACAUUCACAAAAGGCUCAGCACUCAGAACUCUUGCAGCGUAGGCCUGACCUGAGCACGCAGCGGGACCCUUCCACUGCCUCUGAAUGGAGCCCUGUGUCAGCGAUGCAUGGCGGGGCUAAUCAGGUAAUGCGAGGAAACAGCUGCGAAGCGCCCAGCCUUCGGGGUCUGUGUGUCUCACCCGUUUUGUGCCCCGUGAGCAAAACGUAUCCUUUAGUAACAGCUCCAAGUUACAUUUGCUAAAUAAACACUCUGCAGUUCUGCAGUUACAUUGAGUGCUUUGGGUUGUUUCUGCCGUCUAAAAUAUUGCUAUUCUCAAACUGAACGCCGCGGUACAUUUGACAUAAUCCAGGUAUGAGUAAAGAAUUAUACAAAAAUGCGAGAGAUGCACUUUGAAGCUUAUGUGCCAAUGGAUUAAAACAUAUCUAUGCAACCUGUGAAUAAAUGCAUGAUAUGAAGGAGAAUUUUCAAGAAACCAAGGCAACUCUGCAGCUAAGGAUCUCUAACGCACAGAAUAACGUGUUCUGUCUGCUGCUGCUGCUGCUGGCAGUAUUUCGGAGCUGCACAAUUUGGAUAUUGGAUGUCUCUGGAUUCGAACACAAUGGGUUUGCCAGUACAACUACAGAAAUGUUUGAGCAGAGCUGGAACAACAGGAGGUGGUGAGGACCGGCAUUACUGAUGCUGAGCAUUAUUCUGGGGCCUUUGUGACAUCUGCCUGUGAAUUUGUUCAGCUUGGGUUGAACGUCUGUAUACCAAGCUUUGCCCUUUUUUAUUUACAGGCUUCUAUAAAGUCGAAAUAACAGCAGCUUACGUUUUCCAGUAACAGUCAUUGGAAAGUCUCGUGCUGAGGAGCGCUUCACAGCCUGUGCGUUAUCCGACAUUCCUGCUGUCUGCCUUCCCCAGACUCCAACCCGGUUCAUACAGCUUAGUCCUACAGCUACCUUAGUCCAUACAGCUUAGGGCCACGGGGCAGUCCUGUGCCUCAGUGCUGGAGAAUGGAGGCGGCUGGGAUUAUCAGCCCAGUAAAACGAAGGGGUACGGCUGCUUUCUAGAAAUGAAGUGGGGGGUAAACAAGCAGAGAGGAGGGCUACCGAAGCCAAAGAAGAGAAGUGGCACCAGAACAAAUGGGUAUGAAAUGAGUGGGAAUACAUUUAGGCCGGAAACAUAGAGGUUUCCAAACUUCAAAAGGAUGCGAUUUUAGAAAGCUUCCUAAUUAGAAGAGUGCAUGCAAACUCCCAUAGCAUUAUUAUGCAUUUGCUAUUUAGGAAUUCCAUUGUGAAAUCCCAGAACUCAUUCCCUACGUGCCCAUUACUCGGUCUAGUUGGGAAGGGCUGUGCUUUAAUAAACGGAGAUUAAAGAGAUUUCUAACCAACCCCGUUUACACGCAUUAUAAAUGAUCACAGCGCUCUGUAGAACAGCUGCGGGGUGAGGCCGGGUAGCCAACACCGCGGUACCCCGUUAGGACGGCCCCGCUCCCCCCAUCUCCUCCCGCGCCACGGCCCGCUGUGUGCGCCGCCAGAGAGGCAGCCCAGAG
rnacentral:lncRNA from 1 species